AAGCUUUAACGGAGCCGUUCGCAACGUUUAAUCUGAUUCUGUCUCUCUGAAAUAACUAUGGAGAACCAAGCAGUGAAAAUAGACAUUCAAGAGAAAGAAAGACUUCUGUCCAGCAUCAGGAUAAUGUCCUUGAUCGGUCUCGGUAUUGGGUUCGUCAGCGUGGUCGUCGGAGUUCUUGUGUUUGUAUUUCUGGAAGGCGGCAAGUACCCCAUUAUCUCGGCAGUUGGUAUUUGGUAUGGACUUAUACAAAUCACCUUUGGGAUGUUAGGACUUUUGGCAUGUCAAUCAACAGAUGAAAAGAAACAGGGAAAUCUGGUAUUGUUUAUUAAUAACUACCUAAAAUUCUAGUGAAUAAAUGUUAAUAUUUUACUAUUGCGUUGAAUAUUCGUUGCUGAAAUUGCAUGCUGAACAUUUCAUACCAGUUGAUUUUUUUUGGGGUUGCAGUUAAGUGUACACUACGUUCUCAGUAUCUUUGUUAUGUCCAUGGGAUACGCCCUAGCUGUCGCCAUACAAGCUGUAGUAGCAUGCGGCAACAAGGACGAUAGUUGUGGAACUAACCCGGACACACAGCUUGCUCUCCACAUCGUGAUUCUCUGUGUAAUCGUUGUGGGCAACUUUCUGGGCAUUACCUCCAUGGUUUUCCACCUGAGAAAUAGAAAAAUCCUGCACCCCGAGUGGAGGAACCGCAAAGGAUGUUGUUGUUAAAAGUUUUCAUGUCAGCACUCAAGAAGAUACAAUUAGUAUCGUAGCCAGAAUUGAACCCCUCCCUCUACCUCUGCAUGGUCUUGAACAUUAUAUGUUCAUGUUUUGUUGUUAUGCCAUUUAAGCCCACUCUCUUCUUGACUUCAUCAUUGCAGUCAUUUUGUACCAGUUUUUUUGUAAAUUAACAUUUCAUGCCUCGACUAAAAGGUUUGAGGUAGGUGUGUUUAAGUGUGACUGAAGAUAUUUAAAAACCAACCGAGAAACGGGGGAACUAUUUAUUUUAUUUAUGUGACUUGAAGAUCUUUGAAUAUUAUAAAGGUCACGGAGUUUGUAUGUCAUUUUAUGGAUUGUGUUAAAUAUUGUUAUAUAUAAUAUUAAUUUUGUGUGAAAUGUUCGUUUGUAUUUUGUGUCCUUUAAUAUACUGUUUAUAGUUAUUGGGUUUGUAUAAAUAUUUCACGCUCUGAAAUAAAAUAAUUAUUGUUUC
rnacentral:misc_RNA from 1 species